UGGAGUGUAGCUCAAUGGCAGAGCAGCAGUUCGGAACUGUCAUGUGGAGGUUCGAAUCCUCUCACUCCAGCCA
rnacentral:tRNA from 1 species